rnacentral:rRNA from 1 species
UGGGGAAUAUUGGGCAAUGGGCGAAAGCCUGACCCAGCGACGCCGCAUGAGGGAAGAAGGUCUUCGGAUUGUAAACCUUUGUUGUAAGGGACGAAACAAAUGACGGUACCUUACGAGGAAGCCACGGCUAACUACGUGCCAGCAGCCGCGGUAAUACGUAGGUGGCAAGCGUUAUCCGGAUUUACUGGGUGUAAAGGGUGUGUAGGCGGGAAAGCAAGUCAGAUGUGAAAAUUAUGGGCUCAACCCAUAACCUGCGUCUGAAACUGUUUUUCUUGAGUAUCGGAGAGGUAAGUAGAAUUCCCGGUGUAGCGGUGAAAUGCGUAGAUAUCGGGAGGAAUACCGGCGGCGAAGGCGACUUACUGGACGACAACUGACGCUGAGACACGAAAGUGUGGGGAGCAAACAGGAUUAGAUACCCUGGUAGU